AUGUGUUGUGGUGGAAAGAUUUAUCGGUGCAGGAUGGGCCCGCGGCCUAUCAGCUUGUUGGUGGGGUAAUGGCCUACCAAGGCGACGACGGGUAGCCGACCUGAGAGGGUGACCGGCCACACUGGGACUGAGACACGGCCCAGACUCCUACGGGAGGCAGCAGUGGGGAAUAUUGCACAAUGGGCGGAAGCCUGAUGCAGCGACGCCGCGUGAGGGAUGAAGGCCUUCGGGUUGUAAACCUCUUUCAGCAGGGACGAAGCGUGAGUGACGGUACCUGCAGAAGAAGCACCGGCUAACUACGUGCCAGCAGCCGCGGUAAUACGUAGGGUGCGAGCGUUGUCCGGAAUUACUGGGCGUAAAGAGUUCGUAGGCGGUUUGUCGCGUCGUUUGUGAAAACCCGGGGCUCAACUUCGGGCUUGCAGGCGAUACGGGCAGACUUGAGUGUUUCAGGGGAGACUGGAAUUCCUGGUGUAGCGGUGAAAUGCGCAGAUAUCAGGAGGAACACCGGUGGCGAAGGCGGGUCUCUGGGAAACAACUGACGCUGAGGAACGAAAGCGUGGGUAGCAAACAGGAUUAGAUACCCUGGUAGUCCACGCCGUAAACGGUGGGCGCUAGGUGUGGGUUCCUUCCACGGGAUCUGUGCCGUAGCUAACGCAUUAAGCGCCCCGCCUGGGGAGUACGGCCGCAAGGCUAAAACUCAAAGGAUUUGACGGGGGCCCGCACAAGCGGCGGAGCAUGUGGAAUAAUUCGAUGCAACGCGAAGAACCUUUACCUGGGUUUGACAUACACCGGAAAACCGUA
rnacentral:rRNA from 1 species